rnacentral:rRNA from 1 species
UACGGAGGGUCCAAGCGUUAUCCGGAAUCAUUGGGUUUAAAGGGUCCGUAGGCGGGACAAUAAGUCAGAGGUGAAAGCCCACAGCUCAACUGUGGAACUGCCUUUGAUACUGUUGUUCUUGAAUUCGGUCGAAGUGGGCGGAAUAAGUAGUGUAGCGGUGAAAUGCAUAGAUAUUACUUAGAACACCGAUAGUGAAGACAGCUCACUAGACCUGGAUUGACGCUGAGGGACGAAAGCGUGGGGAGCGAACAGG